UCGAAUGUUCUAGUUUCUUUUUAACGUAUUUUCGUAGAAUUACAAAAUAGGUUCUAAAGUUAAAAAUAAGUGACAGAAAUGACCCUGAAUAAAUCCUUAUUCAUAAUUUUCAUGAUUAAUCUACAAGAUUGUAUGGAUAAAUGUUAUUUUAUGGAUGUAACACGCUUAGAUGUUUCAUUUUAUGGAAAUAAUGCAAGAUGAAGAUGAAAACAUUUACAACUUACCCUUUUGCGGUGAUAGUGAUUAUUUAUGCAGUGCUCAUGAUGCAAAUGAAUUCAAGUGAGGGCGGCAGAAGGAGGAAAAGAUGCCAAUUUAAUGAGGAACAGACUGAAUGUGUUGAUAUAAUACCAAAGAGGGCAAUGAAAUACAAGAUUUGUCCAAAUUUUGAUAUAGCUACUCGUGGCAGGUGCGCAAAAAUAGGUGGUUACUGUACAAUAAUUCCUAGAAGAGGAAAAAAUCGUUGUAUUUGUGACAAACACAGAUAUUUUCGUGAUCAACCAUGGGGUCCAAUACGCGAUUUUUGAACAAGUUGACGAAGCGUCAUCACAUUCUUCAAAGGUGGUGGAAAUUUAAAUUUAAAGACAUAUCAAUAAGAAAUGUGUAAUUAUUUUACCACAUACUUAUAAGCAGAACUCAACAUUAUUCAUUAUUAUUAUCAUUAUUUUGUUAUUGUUUUUGUGGUUGCUGCUGCUGCUAUUGUUGAUAUUUUUUUUACUUUUUAGUUUGCCUUAUUUGUUAGUACUAUGUACGUGCCAAGGCGUUUCUAUUUGAAUCAUGUUAUAAUAAAAUGUUUAUGAAUUUA